UUAAAGAUAAGCUAAAAUAAGCUGACGGGUUCAUACCCCGUCUAUGAAAAUCUCUCUUUAAA
rnacentral:tRNA from 1 species